UACGAAGGGGGCUAGCGUUGCUCGGAAUGACUGGGCGUAAAGGGCGCGUAGGCGGUUCGCACAGUCAGGCGUGAAAGUCCUGGGCUCAACCUGGGGAUUGCGCUUGAGACGGGUUGUCUGGAGUUGGGAAGAGGGUCGUGGAAUUCCCAGUGUAGAGGUGAAAUUCGUAGAUAUUGGGAAGAACACCGGUGGCGAAGGCGGCGACCUGGUCCUUGACUGACGCUGAGGCGCGAAAGCGUGGGGAGCAAACAGG
rnacentral:rRNA from 1 species